rnacentral:piRNA from 1 species
UACCCUCAAUCAGUCGGCAAUGAUGG